CUACAGCUUAUUAUAGUGAUUAAGGUGCCAUGAGUCUUUAAAGGGCUCUCCCUUGCACCUUCAGCUUGGUUCUGCAUCAGCUGCUCAGAUUAUGUGGAAGGGUCGGUUUGUAUUAUCAAUUCAAAUCUCUCUCACUUUGAACAGCAAUGAUGAACUGAAAUUUCAAGGCUAACCAUCCCAGUGCAUGUAGCCUAUCAUUGCUGUCAAGGUUAGAGGACGUCUAUGGAUGAAUUAUUCGGAACUGAACCUGCCAUGUUCGCUAAGCAGCUAGCUCAGGACACUGUUAUAUUGCACACAUUUGUCAAAUUUACCUCCUGUCUGUCAAAUACCCAUGAAACAAAUUGGACUCACAACUGUUAUUUGGGAAAAGUUCAAAUUAAGUUACAUUUAACUCCUUAUCCUACAAAUAAAAAAAAUCUUUAAAAAGAGUAAUGGGUAUGGACUUGGCAUUUGCCCUAGGAAAGAAUGUCCAAGCUGACAAGGCAUCAUAGGAGUUGUAGUUCACCAAAUGCGCAUCUAUACCUUUUCCCCACUGCAGAUUGCAGUGUCUCUGCAGAACGUUUGCAUUGCAGUCUGCAUUGCUUUAAUAGUGUUAAUCUACUUUAGCAAUAAAUAUAAUUUAUAUUGUUGGAUGUACUCUCCGUUAACUAUUUACUGCAGAGUAGGCUGCCAUAGUAUCGUGGUGUAUGACCUAUAACUUGUAGGACAAAUAUUUGCUUAGCAUAGUGUAUUGUACUGCAGAAAAAUUGAGUUUCUGGGUUAUGCUAACCAAGCACGUCGACUGUGCAAGUUUCCUGCAGCUAGCACUCCUCUGGCUUUAAAGACUAAUUUAUUAUUAACCACCUCGUUUAUUACCAGGAUUUAUUAUGUGCAGUCGCAGGGACAAAAAAGCAUUUUGGCUCAUUUUCAGUAAACCGUUCCUGCCCCUCGCAUCCUAGUCCUGCUGUGUAUUAAAUGAAUGUUGCAUCAGAUACCGUCUACAUAUUAAACCCAGAGUUUGACUGCAGCUUAGAUACUGCCAAAGCUACUUUCAUCUUCCCAUUUUAACUGUUUUCAUGCCUGUAUAUUUCUUUAUUUUAGCAAUCAUGUUCUAUAUAGCUCUCUAUCCGCUAACAUGUUUACAUUUAAGCCGCCCACGAUCCUUAAAACUCAUCAGUUAAGAGGGGUCGUGGUUUGGCCAAGUUUUACACUAACUUCGUUUUGGAGUGCGGUGCAAAAUAAAUUGAAUUUGUUUUAGGGUUGUUGCUUCAGAGACAAAUGAAUUUUUGUGUAAGUAUGUGUAGCUUUGCUUUUUUGGCUUUCAACUGUUUGAUCCCAUACAAUAAUUUUAAGUACAUUUUCCUUGCAAAUACAAAGUACCUUUUUCAAAACCUAUGGUGAAAAUUUCUAUUCACUUAUCCUACAGUAGAAGCAAUUAACGUUGUUAAAAUAAUCUUUUAAGAGGAUAAUUCAGUUUGUGAGAGCAGCAUAUGUUUAAUGUUUGGAUUGC